AGUCGAACGAGUUCUGAUUAUUGAAAGGUGCUUGCAUCUUGAUUUAAUUUUGAACGAGUGGCGGACGGGUGAGUAACACGUGGGUAACCUGCCCUUAAGUGGGGGAUAACAUUUGGAAACAGAUGCUAAUACCGCAUAAAUCCAAGAACCGCAUGGUUCUUGGCUGAAAGAUGGCGCAAGCUAUCGCUUUUGGAUGGACCCGCGGCGUAUUAGCUAGUUGGUGAGGUAACGGCUCACCAAGGCAAUGAUACGUAGCCGAACUGAGAGGUUGAUCGGCCACAUUGGGACUGAGACACGGCCCAAACUCCUACGGGAGGCAGCAGUAGGGAAUCUUCCACAAUGGACGCAAGUCUGAUGGAGCAACGCCGCGUGAGUGAAGAAGGCUUUCGGGUCGUAAAACUCUGUUGUUGGAGAAGAAUGGUCGGCAGAGUAACUGUUGUCGGCGUGACGGUAUCCAACCAGAAAGCCACGGCUAACUACGUGCCAGCAGCCGCGGUAAUACGUAGGUGGCAAGCGUUAUCCGGAUUUAUUGGGCGUAAAGCGAGCGCAGGCGGUUUUUUAAGUCUGAUGUGAAAGCCCUCGGCUUAACCGAGGAAGUGCAUCGGAAACUGGGAAACUUGAGUGCAGAAGAGGACAGUGGAACUCCAUGUGUAGCGGUGAAAUGCGUAGAUAUAUGGAAGAACACCAGUGGCGAAGGCGGCUGUCUGGUCUGUAACUGACGCUGAGGCUCGAAAGCAUGGGUAGCGAAC
rnacentral:rRNA from 1 species